CCUACGGGGGGCUGCAGUGGGGAAUAUUGGACAAUGGGGGGAACCCUGAUCCAGCCAUGCCGCGUGUGUGAAGAAGGCCCUCGGGUUGUAAAGCACUUUCAGUGAGGAAGAACGCCUGGUGGUUAAUACCCAUCAGGAAAGACAUCACUCACAGAAGAAGCACCGGCUAACUCCGUGCCAGCAGCCGCGGUAAUACGGAGGGUGCGAGCGUUAAUCGGAAUUACUGGGCGUAAAGCGCGCGUAGGUGGCUUGAUAAGCCGGUUGUGAAAGCCCCGGGCUCAACCUGGGAACGGCAUCCGGAACUGUCAAGCUAGAGUGCAGGAGAGGAAGGUAGAAUUCCCGGUGUAGCGGUGAAAUGCGUAGAGAUCGGCAGGAAUACCAGUGGCGAAGGCGGCCUUCUGGACUGACACUGACACUGAGGUGCGAAAGCGUGGGUAGCAAACAGGAUUAGAUACCCUAGUAGUC
rnacentral:rRNA from 1 species